ACUCUUUUUUCUAGGCAAAACUGCAAGGUAUUUGAAAUGGAAUUAGGCACAUGAUAGCAUAAGGAGCUGAGGUAUUAUUGUAAGGAUCAAAGCAGAUGAAAAUCCAAUAUAAUUUAAUUACAGAGGAAUUAAAAUAUCAAGAAAAGGAAAUGUUCAGGAAUCAAGAACAGCUAGAGAGAAGAAAGCAGAUGAGUAUCAAAUCUGAUGAUUAAUAAGUCAGUCCUUCAGACAGAAUGGCAACAGGCACCUUGAGGUAUGGCACAAGCCACGGGACCAGAGAUGAUGGAUGAAUCUGAGUAGGUUGACCAUCCAUUCAUUCUGCGUGAUACAAGGCACUGUCACUGUAAUGACUCAGAAGGAAGAAACCCAAAAUGGAAGCAAUGCAGUUGGUACAUCUGGUUUUUAUCCCAUCUUUUGAUCUUCUACAGUAUGUCCAAUAAGAAGGAACAAGAAAACAUAGUUGAGUUGCUUAUUGGCUUAUGGUCUGGCAAGGUUCUUGCAGUUUCAGAAACAUUUAGGUCUUAUUGAGUAUUCAUGCAUUAUUUAAAUGUACACUAUUUCAUUCCUAUAAAUAAAUUAAAAGACUGAGGGUUUUUUCAUGGAUAUUAAUUCUUGAUUGAUAUUGGAAACUGAAAUAUCUGAAAAUGGACAACAUGGGAGAACAAUGGAGAACAAUUUAUAACACAGA